rnacentral:rRNA from 1 species
CACAGGGAGGUAGUGACAAGAAAUAACAAUACGGGGCUUAAAGUCUUGUAAUUGGAAUGAUGGGAAUUUAAACCUCUUCCAGAGUAUCAAUUGGAGGGCAAGUCUGGUGCCAGCAGCCGCGGUAAUUCCAGCUCCAAUAGCGUAUAUUAAAAUUGUUGCAGUUAAAAAGCUCGUAGUUGAAUUUCUGCUGCAUUGCUUGUGUCCCUCCGGGGUCUGUGCAUGUGGCUUUUUUCGGACGGAGUUUCUUUGUCUGAAUGUUUACUUUGAGAAAAUUAGAGUGCUCAAAGCAGG